AUGAACGUAAGCAUGGGCCAGUUAAAACAAGCACAAGCUUCACCAUCGUCUCCACCCGUCAGGAAGGUACACUUCAAGCCCACCCUUCUCACCGACCCUCCCUUGACUGCAGCAGGUGUCUCUGUUCAGAAGAGUCUCUCCACAUGUUGUUGCAUCUCUGACAUUGCUUUUUGAUAGCAAGUCUGGUCCUGGCUGCACUAAGGUUCCUAGGACUCACAAUUGUGAAAACAUCCUUUAAAGUCUGAGCAAGAUAAAUUCCACCAAACAAAUGUCCAGGUGAGAAGGGGUUAUAAGAAUGACACGUUGACUAUAUUCUUCAAAAAUGGCUUGUCAUAAAAAAGGAAGGCUUAGAAACUAAUCCAGAUUAUAGGAGACUAAAGACACGUGACAACUAAAUGCAGCAUUGUGAUUCUAGACUGAAUCCUAUAAUGGAGCUUUUAAAAAAAGCCACAAAGGACGUUAC
rnacentral:lncRNA from 1 species